AUCAUGAGUUCACAUGUCCGCAUGAUUAAAGGUAUUUUCCGGUAGACGAUGGGGAUGCGUUCCAUUAGAUAGUAGGCGGGGUAACGGCCCACCUAGUCAACGAUGGGUAGGGGUUCUGAGAGGAAGGUCCCCCACAUUGGAACUGAGACACGGUCCAAACUCCUACGGGAGGCAGCAGUGAGGAAUAUUGGUCAAUGGGCGAUGGCCUGAACCAGCCAAGUAGCGUGAAGGAUGACUGCCCUAUGGGUUGUAAACUUCUUUUAUAAAGGAAUAAAGUCGGGUAUGCAUACCCGUUUGCAUGUACUUUAUGAAUAAGGAUCGGCUAACUCCGUGCCAGCAGCCGCGGUAAUACGGAGGAUCCGAGCGUUAUCCGGAUUUAUUGGGUUUAAAGGGAGCGUAGAUGGAUGUUUAAGUCAGUUGUGAAAGUUUGCGGCUCAACCGUAAAAUUGCAGUUGAUACUGGAUGUCUUGAGUGCAGUUGAGGCAGGCGGAAUUCGUGGUGUAGCGGUGAAAUGCUUAGAUAUCACGAAGAACUCCGAUUG
rnacentral:rRNA from 1 species